UACGGGAGGCAGCAGUGGGGAAUUUUGGACAAUGGGGGCAACCCUGAUCCAGCAAUGCCGCGUGUGUGAAGAAGGCCUUCGGGUUGUAAAGCACUUUUGUCCGGAAAGAAAACCUUUGCCCUAAUACGGCGGGGGGAUGACGGUACCGGAAGAAUAAGCACCGGCUAACUACGUGCCAGCAGCCGCGGUAAUACGUAGGGUGCAAGCGUUAAUCGGAAUUACUGGGCGUAAAGCGUGCGCAGGCGGUUCGCUAAGACAGAUGUGAAAUCCCCGGGCUUAACCUGGGAACUGCAUUUGUGACUGGCGGGCUAGAGUAUGGCAGAGGGGGGUAGAAUUCCACGUGUAGCAGUGAAAUGCGUAGAGAUGUGGAGGAAUACCGAUGGCGAAGGCAGCCCCCUGGGCCAAUACUGACGCUCAUGCACGAAAGCGUGGGGAGCAAACAGGAUUAGAUACCCUGGUAGUCCACGCCCUAAACGAUGUCAACUAGUUGUCGGGUCUUCAUUGACUUGGUAACGUAGCUAACGCGUGAAGUUGACCGCCUGGGGAGUACGGUCGCAAGAUUAAAACUCAAAGGAAUUGACGGGGACCCGCACAAGCGGUGGAUGAUGUGGAUUAAUUCGAUGCAACGCGAAAAACCUUACCUACCCUUGACAUGUAUGGAACCCUGCUGAGAGGUGGGAGUGCCCGAAAGGGAGCCAUAACACAGGUGCUGCAUGGC
rnacentral:rRNA from 1 species